CUCUACACGCCUAGCCUCUCUUUUUUCCUUUCUUCUUUCUCUUCACCAUUUCAGCAAGAAAGCUCUUCCAUCUCACUAGAAAAUCUGAAAAAGAAACCUCCCUCUCUCCUCACAAGAACUUCAUUAGAGCACCUCCAAACUUUAGCUCAUCAAAGAGGUAAGUUUCUCAUGAACAUUUCUUGCUCUUCUUCCCUUCUCUUGGCUGAGCACCCUUGGGUGCUUUCUCAUUUCAUUUUUUUAGUUGGAGCUCUAUCAAACUCAGAUCAUGUAUGUUUGAAAGAGUAGGAAUCCAUUUCAAGUAGGGAAAUGAGCUAAAAGCUUGUGCAUGCAAGCCUUAUUGUGAAAAGAAAAAUUCAAGAUGUUAAGAGGAUAGAGGAGUGGUUCGAAAAGGUCAAUGACGCAUAAGAAACAAAACCUAGAACUUCAAAGGUAAAAAUCUUGUGUUUUGGUAAUAGUUUAUGUUUAAUCUUCCAAUCUGCGUUUUUGAGAUGCAUGGAAGGUUUUGAUCUCUUGUUUAUGUUUUAAUAAGGUGUGUGAUAGCAUUAGAUGAUGCAUGCAUGUGUGCAAUGUGAAUAUUUUAGUGGAAAUCCAAAAUUUCCAUAGGAAGUUAUAAAAAUUUCUUGCUGCCAGAUUUAAUAGGUAACAUCCAAUGAGUUAAACCCUGAUUUUACAAUCUGUUCUCAUAAAAAGGUUUUCACCAAUGUUAAAUAUGGGAAGAGUACAUAAGUUUAGGCUUUUGAAACACUUAAAAAUGUUUUCUAAAGUAGGAGUUAUGACCCUUGCAAAAUCCAUACUCAAUCUGAAAUCUAAUCCUGGUAGCUUGCACUUAAAUUUUUGAAAAAUAUUAUUGAACAUGCUAUGUUUACAUUUAGGAGCUAAUAUUUGGUAAACUUUUAGUAGAUAUAUUGAAUAGGAAGCAUGUAAUACAGAUUUGUUAAAUUCAUUAUGGUUUGUGAGUUGUGAAUUUUCUAACUAAGAUAGUCAAAAUUGUUUGCUGUCAAGAUAGUGUUGUUACAGAGUUUUCAACUUGCCAAACUUUAUAUUAUUGGUCAAACUUUCAAAUGAGACUUCCAGCAUUUCAUUUUUUAAGAAGAGUACUUCAAUUUAGCAUUUUAAAGUACUAAAAAAUAUUCAUGUACCAAUGAUCACACCAAAAUAAUGAUGAAACGUACUUUUGUUAUCAAUUUAUUUUACAGUAUUUAUUAGGUAUUUAGGUGCAACUUUCAGCCUAAUUUAUUGGCUUUCACCUCAAAUAUCCCAAAUCAUGAUUACACAAAUAUCAAAUUAUAAUUGUGGAAUUCCCUGUAUGACUUACUAUAUCUUCAAUUUUUUUUGCAAUUUAAUUAAAAUUUUUGAAAUAAUUAUAUGCAAAAGGAAUAUCAGUAGCACAAUUACUUAAAAUUUUAGAUUUGUUACAGAUAUAUUGCUUUUUUUAAAACGAUAAAACUAUCAAAAUCUAUUUUUUUGUGUGACGUUAACAUCUUAUCCAUUAACUCCUAAAAUGUGCAAUAUAAUUAAUUUUUUUGCCCAUAUAAAUGUUACAAAUCUAGAAUUUUGGGUUGUUACAUAAUUAAGGAUUUUAAGUUUUUUAUUUUUUAUUUUUUUUAUGAAUCCUUUCAAUAUAUAUUUUUUUUCAACAAAGCGGCUAAAGCGUAUAAGUUAAUAAGUUACCUAAAAUUAUUCUUUAAAAAAAACCAAAAUUGUGAAUUUAUUGCACUUAUAUACCAAAAAAGUUAAUCAUGUUGCAAAAAUAGUGUAACCCUAUUUUAGAGUAACAUUUUGAGGCAUGGUUUAUUGAGACUCACUUGUUAUUAGUGAGAUGUCUUUGGAGAUUUGUAUUCUCCUCCACGAGUACAUAAAUAUCAAGUAUCAAUAUGCUCAAAAUAGUUAUGGGGUGAAUGAGAAAUUGUCACUUAAAGUAGGCAAAAUGAUAAGGGAAAAUAAUGUGAUUUGUGUUAAUUCAACAUGAAAAUUUAAGUACCCUUUUAAAUUGGUAUAUAUAUAAUUUCAUAUCCUUAUCAUGGUAAGUUGAUAAACAACGAGACUCUCUCUUACAUGCACAGAGGAUGCAAAUCAUUGUGGGUGAAGAAAAAACACAUUAAACUUGUGUGCGCUAUUGAGUCCUACAAGCAUGAAUGUAUGCCCAUAAAGCCCGGUCUAUGUUGGACUUGUUUUGCAACCCAGCAUUAAUUUUUUCCUUAAAAGUCAACAAAAAAAUUAUAGAACACUCUAAACAUGAGUCUGGAAGAUCUCCUCUUGGCUUGCACGAAAAUUGCUUCAUAAUAAUCAAUUUUGGGUAGUUACCCAAAAUUAAAUUUUUGGGCAGUUACCCAAUUUUGUUUGCUUGAUUCUCAUCCUCUUGGCCCCCCUUAAAGGCUAUAAAUAGAGGGCUUGACCUCAUUGUUUGACACAUCAUUCGAAAAUCUCUCUCUUAAAUUUUGAAACUCUCUCUUUCUCUUGAUAAAACUCUCUUGGUUCCUGGUUGAACCUCCUUUGAGUUCAUACCAUAUGGCGUUGUAGCUCUCUUAGUCCUCAGUCACAUCUUGAUGGUGUUCUUAGGCAUUGGUCAGUUCGUUGGGAGUAGAAGCAAGGUGCUUAGCUGCUGCUCAUAGACCAUUUUAUCAUGGGAGACAAACGCCGUUAGCAAUCCUCUAGCACCCCGUGAGGAGGCAUAAUUGUUUUAAGGAGAUAGUAUGGAACACUAGACUCGGUUUCACACAAAAACGAUAUUUAUAAUACAUAUGCUUUAUUUUAUUUUGAUA